rnacentral:rRNA from 1 species
AAUAACUUAUACAUAUGAAAAUUAAUAUUUAUUAUAUGUAUAAGUGAAAAAUAUUGAAAUAUUCCCAUAUUCUCUAAGUAUUAUAGAGAAUAUAAUUAAUAUAUAAAGAAUUUAAAGAAUUUUAUCAAGAGUAGCCAAACACCUCGUCAUUAACUACUAUAAUAGGUAGGCAGUGGUUGCCGACCUCUCAUAUUGUUCAAAACGUAUGUAUCAUAUGAUUUUGGCAAUUAUAUGAGUAAAUUAAAUCAUAUACAUAUGAAAAAGGCAGUGGUUGCCGACCUCUCAUAUUGUUCAAAACGUAUGUGUUCAUAUGAUUUUGGCAAUUAUAUGAGUAAAUUAAAUCAUAUACAUAUGAAAAAGGCAGUGGUUGCCGACCUCUCAUAUUGUUAAAAACGUAUGUGUUCAUAUGAUUUUGGCAAUUAUAUGAGUAAAUUAAAUCAUAUACAUAUGAAAAUUAAUAUUUAUUAUGUGUAUAAGUGAAAAAUGUUGAAAUAUUCCCAUAUUCUCUAAGUAUUAUAGAGAAAAGCCAUUUUAGUGAAUGGAUAUAGUAGUGUAAGCUAGCUGUUCUACGACAGAGGGUUCAAAAACUACUAUAGGUAGGCAGUGGUUGCCGACCUCUCAUAUUGUUCAAAACGGUAUGUGUUCAUAUGAUUUUGGCAAUUAUAUGAGUAAAUUAAAUCAUAUACAUAUGAAAAUUAAUAUUUAUUAUGUGUAUAAGUGAAAAAUGUUGAAAUAUUCCCAUAUUCUCUAAGUAUUAUAGAGAAAAGCCAUUUUAGUGAAUGGAUAUAGUACUGUAAGCUAGCUGUUCUACGACAGAGGGUUCAAAAACUACUAUAGGUAGGCAGUGGUUGCCGACCUCUCAUAUUGUUCAAAACGUAUGUGUUCAUAUGAUUUUGGCAAUUAUAUGAGUAAAUUAAAUCAUAUACAUAUGAAAAUAAAUAUUUAUUAUAUGUAUAUGGAAAAAUGU